rnacentral:rRNA from 1 species
UAGGAGAGCGUUCUGUAAGCCUGUGAAGGUGAGUUGAGAAGCUUGCUGGAGGUAUCAGAAGUGCGAAUGCUGACAUGAGUAACGACAAUGCGAGUGAAAAACUCGCACGCCGAAAGACCAAGGUUUCCUGCGCAACGUUAAUCGACGCAGGGUUAGUCGGUCCCUAAGGCGAGGCUGAAAAGCGUAGUCGAUGGAAAACAGGUUAAUAUUCCUGUACUUCCAGUUAUUGCGAUGGAGGGACGGAGAAGGUUAGGCCAGCCUGGCGUUGGUUGUCCAGGUUUAAGGUGGUAGGCUGAAAUCUUAGGCAAAUCCGGGAUUUCAAGGCCGAGAGCUGAUGACGAGUUGCCCUUAGGCGACGAAGUGGUUGAUGCCAUGCUUCCAAGAAAAGCCUCUAAGCUUCAGAUAACUAGGAACCGUACCCCAAACCGACACAGGUGGUCGGGUAGAGAAUACCAAGGCGCUUGAGAGAACUCGGGUGAAGGAACUAGGCAAAAUGGCACCGUAACUUCGGGAGAAGGUGCGCCGGUGAGGGUCAAGGAUUUACUCCGUAAGCCCAUGCCGGUCGAAGAUACCAGGCCGCUGCGACUGUUUAUUAAAAACACAGCACUCUGCAAACACGAAAGUGGACGUAUAGGGUGUGACGCCUGCCCGGUGCCGGAAGGUUAAUUGAUGGGGUUAGCGCAAGCGAAGCUCUUGAUCGAAGCCCCGGUAAACGGCGGCCGUAACUAUAACGGUCCUAAGGUAGCGAAAUUCCUUGUCGGGUAAGUUCCGACCUGCACGAAUGGCGUAACGAUGGCGGCGCUGUCUCCACCCGAGACUCAGUGAAAUUGAAAUCGCUGUGAAGAUGCAGUGUAUCCGCGGCUAGACGGAAAGACCCCGUGAACCUUUACUAUAGCUUUGCACUGGACUUUGAAUUUGCUUGUGUAGGAUAGGUGGGAGGCUUUGAAGCGUGGACGCCAGUUCGCGUGGAGCCAACCUUGAAAUACCACCCUGGCAACUUUGAGGUUCUAACUCAGGUCCGUUAUCCGGAUCGAGGACAGUGUAUGGUGGGUAGUUUGACUGGGGCGGUCUCCUCCUAAAGUGUAACGGAGGAGUUCGAAGGUACGCUAAUUACGGUCGGACAUCGUGAUGAUAGUGCAAUGGCAUAAGCGUGCUUAACUGCGAGACCGACAAGUCGAGCAGGUACGAAAGUAGGACAUAGUGAUCCGGUGGUUCUGUAUGGAAGGGCCAUCGCUCAACGGAUAAAAGGUACUCUGGGGAUAACAGGCUGAUACCGCC